GGGUGGAAUCUGAGGAGUGAGCCUUCUUCCCCAGGCUGGGAGUAGGUGAGACGAGACUGGGGCCUCUAUGUCUGAGUGCCCCCCAAACCCUGCAGUCAUCUCGUGAGCAAACAAAGAAAUCACGUUACUUCUUCCAGCUGAUGUUCCACUUGUUUCUUCUGUUGUUUCUGUGGGGAAAGUCAAAUUAAGGUGAUGGAGGGUGGCCCCCUCAACUCUAUUCCCCAGACCAGGAAGCGGUAGGCAGGGGCCAGGAAUGGAUUUUCAAGGCAAAGUUCUCAGACAUAAUGGGAACACGAACUGGUAAACUCUCCUCAAGCUCCCAAGGACAGAGGAUUUGGGUCUUUGUUGGCUUUUGCCCACAGCCACAGAACUCAAAGUCUGAAUCUGGAAUCUCUUGAGAGGACAGCAACAUAAACCUCUAGAGACGGAGUUUCAGAAAGGCCCCUCCUUCUGGCAGCUUGUGAUUUAGAAAAGUGGGUUCAUUCAAUAAACAUGUACUGAGC
rnacentral:antisense_RNA from 1 species